rnacentral:rRNA from 1 species
GAUGAACGCUGGCGGCGUGCUUAACACAUGCAAGUCGAACGAAGCACUUUAUUUGAUUUCCUUCGGGACUGAUUAUUUUGUGACUGAGUGGCGGACGGGUGAGUAACGCGUGGGUAACCUGCCUUGUACAGGGGGAUAACAGUUGGAAACGGCUGCUAAUACCGCAUAAGCGCACAGCAUCGCAUGGUGCAGUGUGAAAAACUCCGGUGGUAUAAGAUGGACCCGCGUUGGAUUAGCUAGUUGGUGAGGUAACGGCCCACCAAGGCGACGAUCCAUAGCCGACCUGAGAGGGUGACCGGCCACAUUGGGACUGAGACACGGCCCAAACUCCUACGGGAGGCAGCAGUGGGGAAUAUUGCACAAUGGGCGAAAGCCUGAUGCAGCGACGCCGCGUGAGCGAAGAAGUAUUUCGGUAUGUAAAGCUCUAUCAGCAGGGAAGAUAAUGACGGUACCUGACUAAGAAGC